GAAAAAGAUUUACUUUUAGCGCGCCUAUAUAUGUGUUUGCAAUUAAUUAGCUUUCUAAGUAGUUCAAUUGAUUAGUAUUCAUUCAUUGACUUGAAUGCUUUUUCUGUUUCAGAUCCCUCUGGCUCAUAAACUUUUAUUGAGUCAAUUUUGUGCAAAUCUCGAAUACAUUUGAUCUUCCUGCUCCAUUUGUACUGCACACUGGCUGCCCUCAUUAUUGGCACUAUCAUCUUCCAGCCAGGUGAGACGGAGGAGGAGUUCUCAACCAGAUUGGCUAAAAAUCUAGAAGAUCUUAUCCUCAAAGAGGGGCCUGAAACAAUAGCUGCUUUCAUUUCUAAACCAGUCAUGGGGGGCAGGCGGUGUCAUACCUCCUCCAACAACUUAUUUUGACAAGG